GAUGAACGCUGGCGGCGUGCCUAAUACAUGCAAGUCGAGCGAACAGACGAGGAGCUUGCUCCUCUGACGUUAGCGGCGGACGGGUGAGUAACACGUGGAUAACCUACCUAUAAGACUGGGAUAACUUCGGGAAACCGGAGCUAAUACCGGAUAAUAUAUUGAACCGCAUGGUUCAAUAGUGAAAGACGGUUUUGCUGUCACUUAUAGAUGGAUCCGCGCCGCAUUAGCUAGUUGGUAAGGUAACGGCUUACCAAGGCAACGAUGCGUAGCCGACCUGAGAGGGUGAUCGGCCACACUGGAACUGAGACACGGUCCAGACUGCUACGGGAGGCAGCAGUAGGGAAUCUUCCGCAAUGGGCGAAAGCCUGACGGAGCAACGCCGCGUGAGUGAUGAAGGUCUUCGGAUCGUAAAACUCUGUUAUUAGGGAAGAACAAAUGUGUAAGUAACUAUGCACGUCUUGACGGUACCUAAUCAGAAAGCCACGGCUAACUACGUG
rnacentral:rRNA from 1 species